AGCGAACGCUGGCGGCAGGCUUAACACAUGCAAGUCGAGCGGGCGUAGCAAUACGUCAGCGGCAGACGGGUGAGUAACGCGUGGGAACGUACCUUUUGGUUCGGAACAACACAGGGAAACUUGUGCUAAUACCGGAUAAGCCCUUACGGGGAAAGAUUUAUCGCCGAAAGAUCGGCCCGCGUCUGAUUAGCUAGUAGGUGAGGUAACGGCUCACCUAGGCUACGAUCGUUAGGGGGCCUGAGAGGGUUAUCCCCCACACUGGUACUGAGACACGGACCAGACUCCUACGGGAGGCAGCAGUGAGGAAUAUUGCGCAAUGGAGGCAACUCUGACGCAGCCAUGCCGCGUGCAGGAAGAAGGCGCUACGCGUUGUAAACUGCUUUUAACCGGGAAGAAACCCUCCGACGUGUCGGAGGUUGACGGUACCGGAGGAAUAAGCACCGGCUAACUUCGUG
rnacentral:rRNA from 1 species